ensembl:lincRNA
UUUCCAUCUGUUAGGAUUUCCCAUCAGCUUUAAGAUCUUUCUUUAAUAUUUUUUUUGUACAGGUCUGAUGAUGACAACUGCCUUUAAGUUUUGUUUAUCUAAUAUUGGAGUGAACGAAGCCCUCCCCAAACCCCCAACUUAGUCUGUUAGGUGACAACAUGGCAAAGAGCUCUCAUCUGUUAGCUGACAACUGUGACUGAUCAAUAAUGACCAACCAUCAGGAGAAGUGUGUGGAGAAGGAUGUAGAGGCUGUCUCCAGGAUCAUCGGGAUAAAGUAUGAAGUCUCCACAUAGCAAACCAAGGAAAGUAAAGAGGGUAAGGGAACCGGGACCAGGACUGGCGCAAAUCCCUGAUCAACUGGAACAAGUCAAAGGAUGAAGAUUGUACCUGGCAUGAAGGUGCAGACGUGGUUUCUAAAAACCGCAAGUUGCUUUCUAGGCAAACUUUCCUCUCUCCAGGCGGUUGCUGUGUGAUGUUCACUUCAAGAAAGUCUUUUCAGGUAACAGUUUACAGACAAAUAAUAAUGAGGGAUUCUGAGCUUCCAUAGCCAUUCUAAAAUCACAUAUUCGUCAGAGG